rnacentral:lncRNA from 1 species
GAGUGAAGUUGGCCUUCAUUAAAUAAAGAGGAACUAAUGCGUUCCAUCAAACCAUAUCAAAUCAUAAUAAAGAAACAAAUAACCCUAAUCAGUAAAGAAACCCCUUCCCCCUAACUAUAAGUAACAAAUGAAGCUAGAAUCUGAACAAUCUUCUUGUAGACACGACCCCAGCGAGGACCUGCAUGAAAAAUCAGAGAAGAAACGCAGGAAAAUCUUGCCUGGGGAACCUUUUGGAGUGAAAGAUACUGUGAUCUCCAAAAUCCAAAGCCAAAACCAUUGAAAACUACCCCCCGGAGCUUCGUGACGUCCAUUACUGUCAAUCCAGAGUCGUUGAGCGCUUUACCUCUAAAGGAGCUUCCUCAAUCCAAUAUUGUGGUGCUGGAAGGCGACACCCACUUCUUGCAAGAACAUGAGCUGUUGUAUUCGCCGAUCUGCCAACAAACCCGAAUGUAACACUAUCAAAACCUCUAACCUUCCCCUUAAUGUCUUGAAUAAUCAGACUAGUACUGAUCUGUCUGAAUCUAUGUUGUUUAAUUUUUUCAUGACUGUGAGUGAAUCUCCUUCCACAUGUAUCGAUCUAAACCCAAGCUCUUGAGCAAAGGUCAUUGUUUGUUCGCAUACAUGUGCUUCAGCUAUGAAAGCGUCUGCAACGCCAAAAUGCGGGUAAGUGCAAGCUGCCAGAAUUUCCCCAUUUUCAUUUCUAUCUAAAACACCCAAAAUAGGAAUAUUGGUAUUAGUAUUGAAAGAAGCAUCAUAGUUUAGCUUUAUGUUGUUUGUGUCUGGAGGAACCCAAAUCUCUUAUUUAGGAACGAAUGAGGAAGGUCUCAACCCCUCAAGGGCUUCUAUUUCUAUGAGAUAACCCUUAAUAAAUACCACUAGUUCCGGUAUAUUUGGCUUAAUACCAUCAUGAACCAACCUAUUCCAAGAAUGCCAGAUUACCCAGUAAGCAAUUACAAGAACCUCCUUUUCCUUAUCAGCCAGCUGAUUAAAACCCAUUGCUAACCACUGCUUAUAAUUUGAAUAUUGUGACAAAGGUAACAUCCUUGUUUUCAAAGAGGCUAGUGUUUGUUUUGAGACAAUACACGACCUCAAAAGGUGGUCCACAGAUUUUUCAGUUUCUUUACAUAGAGGGCAUAAUCUAUCAACAUGCAUCAUACGUUUAGAUAAAUUCUCGAAUGUAGGUAGAAAGUUAUGUGUAAGUCUUUAGAAUGUAAUUUUGAUUUACCUUGGAAGAUGUAAAGCCCAUAGUUUUGUAAAUAGCAUUGUAAUUAGAUUAGGUAAAUCCGUAGACUGGGAAGUCUUAAUUAGCAUGUAAUUCUUGGUCAAGCAACAACUUGUAACCACUAUUUGGAGAAUACUCACCCGACCCUUCAUAUCGCCAGACCAACAUAUCUAGACAGUCUGCUUGUGCUAGUGGAAUCAUCAGCACCUUCUCAGCUUGUUUGUACAAGUAUCAAAAUUAAUUAGUUGUGAGACAGUAUUUUGACACUGUAUUUUCCUAUUCCCUGGCCCAGGAAUCCAAGCAUCAUUCCAGAUGUUUACACUAUUACCCGUGCCAAUUCUCCAGCCAAUUCCCAUUUCAAUUAGGCCCCUUGCACUUAAAAUACUCCUCUAGGUAAAAGAAGCAUAAGAUCCUAACCUUGCCGACAUGAAAUUUGAUUAAGGAAAAUAUCUAACUUUUAAAACUUUUGCCAAUAAACAAUCACCAUGCGUAAUAAUAUGCCAACACUGCUUGGCCAAUAAUGCUAUGCUGAACUUGGAUAAAUCACAAAAACCCAACCCUUCUUUCGCUUUCAAUAAACAAAGUGGGUGCCAUGCAGACCAAUGUAUACCUCGAAGCGUAUUAUUAUUCCACCAUUAUUAAAAAUGUUAUCCAACUGGGUAUAAAGUGUCUUUGGAAAAAGAAAACAUUGCAUAGCAUAGACUGGUAGAACUUGCAAUACGGAUUUUAUGAAAACCUCUUUCCCACCUAUGGAUAGAAAUCUCAUACCCCAACCUUUCACCUUCUUACUAAAGCAAUCCAAAUAAUGCGCAAACGCUUGCUUUUUACUUCUACCAGCCAUGACUAACAAUCCCAAAUACUUCUUGGGGUUUUUCAAAAUCCGAAAGCCCAACAGCCUCCCCACAACAUUUUAGACAUUCAAAUCCACAUUAGCUCUAAAAUAAAGAAGAGACUUUUCAUAGUUGACCUUUUGUCUCGAAGCUUUUUCAUAUUUAGAAAUGAUUUGUUUUAUAUUUUGAGCUCCUUCCCUUAAAGCCUCACCAAAUAAAACACAGUCAUCCACAAAGAAGAGGUGAUUUAUUGCUAGUCUCUCCCUUCUUAUACACGCCUCAUUUAUUCGCCCUACUGCUUUUGCUUCAUUAAGAAUAGUCGAGAACCCCUCAACAAACAAUAAAAACAAGUAUGGACUAAGGGAUCACCUUAAUGCAAACCCCUCGAAAGGAAAAAAAAGAUUCACUAAUGCUGCCAUUAACCCCGACCAUAUAGGAAACAAAGGACACACAUCAUAAUUAGCCUCACCCAAUUUUCGUGAAAACCCAAGUGUACCAUUAUCCCUAUUAGAAAGUCCCAUUCAACUCUAUCGUACGUUUUGCUCAUAUCGAGCUUAAGCGCAAAAUUUCCUAGUUUACCCAAUCUCUUCACUUUGAGUCAGUGCAAUAUUUCAUAUACAACAAGGACAUUAUUUGAAAUUUGCUUGUUAGGAAUAAACUCUCAUUGAGCUUCAUCAACACACUCUCCCAACAGACCACUUAUUAUAUUCACUAUUACCUUGGUAAUGAUCUUAUACAACACAUUGCAUAAACUAAUAGGCCUAAGUUGUGUCUAGGGGAGAGCAUUCAAUCGAAUCGAAUCAAAAAUUUUUGAGUUAAUCGAGUUUUCGAAUCUCAUUUUAUCAUCCUAACUUUAUUUGAAGUUUUCUCAAAUCGAGUCAAGUGAGAUAGAAUUCGAAUCAAAUCAAAUCGAAUAUAUUUGUUCGAGUUAAAUUUUAAAAAAUAAUUUUGGGUCCUUGUAACCACUAUCACCCAUUGUAAUAAAAUUUGUCCACCUUAAUCAAUUUUUUUAUUAAAUUUCACCACCUCAUAAUUUAUUUAUUAAUUUUUUAUAUAUUGGUUAGCUUCUUUGCUUACUUAGUUGUUUCAAUUAUCUUCAGAUUCUUGUCACUAUGUAUUUUGGAAUUAAAAAAUAUAUAAAUGCAAAAAUAUGGUUUUUUAAUAAAAGUUAUUUUAAAAAUAAAAUGUGAAAUUGAUACCAAUAUAAAAUUUUAACACGAAUAUUUUAUGGCAUAAUUAAUAAUUCAAUUUUAAUAUAAAUAUUCAAUAUGACUACACACUUCAAUAAUAUAAAUAAUAUAAAAUGUGAAAUUUAAUUUAAUAAUAUAAAUAGUAGAUAUAAAUAAAAUUAUUACUAUUUAUGUUUAGUGAUUUUUUUUGGAUAAUUUUGAUUUUUUAUUUGAUAGUAAAGGUGAGAAGUAAAAGUUUAGGGGGGAAAUAAAAAGUUUUGGGGAAUAAAAGUUUGAGGAAAAGUAAAUAGGAGGGAGUAAAAUUUUGGAGGGAAAAUAUUAAAAAAAAAAUUGGAGGGGGAGGGUUUUGGGUAGAUGGGAGGUGGGAUGAGAAGGGAAUAAAAAUUUUAGGGGAAAAGUGGGAGGGAGUAAAAUUUUUGGGGGAAAAUAAAAGGUUUUGAGGGUUUUGAGAGUAAAAUUUUGAGAAAAAAUGAAUAGGAGAGUAAAGUUUUGGUGGGAAAUGAAUGUUGGGUAGAUUGUGGGGUUGGGAGGGGAGUAAAAAUUUUUGGAGGAAAGUGGGAAGGAGUAAAAGUUUUGAGGGAAAAGUAAAAAGGUUUGGGAGUUUGGGGUAAAAAUGUAAAAUAUUAUAGUUUGAUAUUCAAAUUACUCGAAUUAUUCGAGUUAUUCGAAUUCGAAAACUCAACUCGAUUCGAACUCGAAAUUUGAAAAAAAAUUCGAGUUGAUUCGAAUAACUCGAUUCGUUUAACUCAAAAUUUGAAUUUUUUUUGUUUUUUUCGAGUGAGUCGAGUCGAGUUUUGCUCACCCCUAGCUGUGUCAUAUUGCAAGGAUUAUUUACCUUCAAAAUCAAAACAAUAUGAGUCCUAUUGAGUUCGUUGAUAGUAAUCUCCCCACGAAGAAACUCAAAGUAAUAGUUCGUAACAUCAUUACUUAUGACAUGCCAAUAUUUUUGAUAAAAUAAAGUAGGGUACUUAUUAAUACCUGAUGUUUUAAGAGGCGACAUAGAUUUGACCGCAACCCAUACUUCUUCAGGUAGAAAAGGUUGCAGCAAAUCCACAUUCAUCUUUGGCGUCACCUUUCUCUAGACGUUAGCAUAAAUCCUAGAAGUAUCCUCUUCAUCCGAGGCCGUGAAAAGUUCUAUGAAAUACUUAGAGGCAAUCUUCAGAACCUCUUCCUCGUCAGUUACCCCUUCCCUUUUAAUGCCAACAAUCCCGUUUCGCUUCCCUCGACCACAAACUACCUUAUAAAGAAAGUGGUAUUCCUGUCCCUAGUCGAAAGUCAGUUAACUCAGGCUCUCUGUUCCCAAAAUAGUUCUUCCUUAUCAUCCUCCAAAUUUAGCCUAAUUUGGAUAUUCGUUAAUUCGGCAAGGAUAUCAUCAUCAAGCUUAUUAGUGUAAAGCUCAUUCAUCCUAAGUUCUAGCCUUUGUUUAUUGGCCACUCUGCUUCUUUUAACCUAAUGACUCCAAUUUCGCAAUGUUUUCCCCAAACCAUUUAAUUUAAUCAGUAAAGCAUCCGUAGAAAAUGACCAAAAAUUGUAAAUUUCUUUCUCACACGAAUCCUUCAAACACCAAUUUGCAUCAAAACGAAAUUGACCCUGACCUCUUCGUGGCCCACUUUGUCAACUGAUUGUGUUUAUCACAAUUGGAUAGUGAUCAGAUAAUGAGUGCGUCCAAUGCGUCAUAGAGUAAUCCAAAAAUAAACUCCACUGAGCCAGAUUUCCCACACAUCUAUCAAGUCUUUCUCGAAUAUUGGUUGUCGCAAAUCUACCCUUCUCCCAUAUGAACCCGCGCUUUAUGAACCCUAUAUCACUCGAAUAACAAUCUUGUAACAUAAUUCUGAAAGCCUCUAUAUUUCUUUCUAGACGUAAUCUACCACCUCCCUUUUCAAAAGAGUAAUCUAUCUUAUUAAAAUCACUAGCUACUAAUGACAGGAUAGACUGAUCUUGACCCAACUACGAAUUAGAUUCUACGAAAUACUUUUUAAUCGUUCUUCAGGAUUACCAUAAAAACCCGUGAAGCACCAUACCACCCUUUCCCGAUCAUCAUGAAUAUCAACAUCAAUAUGAUAUUGAGAAUAACUAUGUAGAUUAACCACACAAUUCUGUCUCUAUCCCAAUAACAAUCCUCCUUUAGUACUCACUGCUCCCACAUUAAUACCAUUCGUGUAACCAAAUUUCCUCUUAACAAUCUCUAUAUUUCAUGUACUGAUUUUUAUUUCCAUUAGAAAUAAAAUAUGGGGACAUAUUUCUCUCAGCUUAUUCUUGAGACGACAUACUGUCUGUGGCCUCCCUAAACCAUGAACGUUUUACCUUACGAUUUUCAUUGCAUCCGGUUGCUCUGCAUAGUAGAACUAGUCGGUCGAAUAUAACCAUAUUCUGAUACACCACCAUUGCCUUUAAUUUUACCGGUGGGAACCUGCCCCACCACUCUGUCAUUUAUUCCCUUUAACGUAUUGGAUAAGAUAUUUUUCCCUAUUUGAACCCAGCUCAAUAAGCCAAAGAUUAGUAGGUCUACCCCCUUUCAUGUCAGUAUCCAAGUGAGAUACACCUGCCCUAUCCCGAACCGGUUGGCAUAUGGUAGACCCCACUAAUUGUAGAUUAUGAUUGGGAUACAAAUUGGUAGCAUUAUCCCCCAAAAUUAUGCCUUAAUUGACUCAUUUCCUUAUCCACCCUUUGACUCAUGAAACUAUCUGGUUCCCGUAACCUUUGACUCACUGCCGAUGAGCCUCUUUUCAUUGGUUCUUGCAAAGAGAUAUCCCAUCCAAAUUGGAUUUUUUUUCGGAUCUAUUCGCACCCUCAAUGGGCGAAAUCUCUCCCUAUGCCCAAGCAUACCACAAAGAAAACAAAACAAAUUAAGUCUUUCAUAUUGAAACGAGCAUAAACUGUUCGACUAACGCCUAAUUAAAUCUUCUUACGCUUUAAUGGAAGGCAAACAUCCAACCAGACCUUAAUUUGCAUAAAUCUUUUUGCAGCCGACAAAGAAAUCUUUGUAUCAUAUUCAAGAAAACUACCUAGAAACACUUAGAACUAUCGUACCAUAGCCUUUGACAUUAGACCCUAAGGUAGAUCAUGAAAUUGCAUCUAAAACUCAACGAAAAAUAAUGGCAACAUGAUAGAGUCCUCCUCUGGUUGGAUCAUAUGCAGCAAAAACAAAUGAUUGUUAAAGAACUAUAGUGUUCCUUCCAAAACGCGUUGCAUAUCCAUUUCAUAAAAAAAUGAAAUAAAACUCGCUUUUCUCCUAGAUCUUUAAUAAAAACUCCACCAAUAAGGUGCCAUAAAUCAACCAAAGUAUUCCUUAGCGAAGGGAAAUGCACCACGCUAUCUACUAGGCAACACCCUACUAAACAGAACUUGAACUUCUCCUCUACCUCACUCUCCUCCCCUGAAACACUUCUUCCUCCUCAUCAACAAGCCUCAAAUUCGUUAACUCGUCUUCUAUAGCCCUCACCUAAAACCCUAAAGAAAUUAUGUUAAAAGACAGACUAAAAUCGGCGUAUUGGUAUAGAUUAAGCCAAUAUUUUAUAUUUGAGCUCCUCCAGAUCUAAUGGUAUAGAUUGAAUUACAUCAACGGUUAAAAUUAGUGCCUAUCUACAAUAUGAGAGUUCUAAGGGAUUUAAACUCUAUACAUCAUUAUUCCUUAAGAUUUACAAUAAUUACCUUGGCAACUUUAGUUUUAAUAGAGUGUUUCAUUAGGCCACCAAGGCUCCAAGUAGAUGAGUUUCUCCAUAUGUUCCAUGAAUCGAGCCAAUUGAAGUGGGUCAAAUGAGCCCCAUUUAAAUAGUUGACCUUCAUGGGACGCUUUAUGUGCAUUUGUCACAGGUUUUGAUCUGUAGCCUAUGACAUUCUCCCUAACUCAUUCUCGCAAUGCCCUCGUCGCGUCCUUGGAAUGACACUAGUUUGGCUCAUCUUAGAACUACCUCAAUGCCUCAGUUGAUGCCCAACUAGUCUCUCUAUCAGGUAGUUCCACUCUUCGAAACAUUUGCCUUGGUUUAUGUCUCCGCUGUCACCUAACUCGAAUUGUAUUUCUCUCUUGUACAUUUCAUUUGCAAGAGUCUACCGCUCUUACUUGUCCCCAUCAUGACUUGCCUCGAUCGGAUAGUAGGAGAGAAGUUAUGAAUAUAGUGGAUAUAUAUAAUGGUAGUUUACUAGAAGUUACACUUAUGUAACUCAUUUUAGCAAAGGGAAUGUUACAUACAAACUUAAAUGCAAGUGCACGG